AUUGAACGCUGGCGGCAGGCCUAACACAUGCAAGUCUAACGAGUGGCGGACGGGUGAGUAAUGUCUGGUAAACUGCCUGAUGGAGGGGGAUAACUACUGGAAACGGUCGCUAAUACCGCCUACCAUCGUAUGUGCCCAGAUGGGAUUAGCUAGUAGGUGGGGUAAAGGCUCCCCUGGGCGACGAUACCUAGCUGGUCUGAGAGGAUGACCAGCCACAUGGGAACUGAGACACGUUCCAGACUCUUACGGGAGGCAGCAGUGGGGAAUAUUGCACAAGGGGCGAAAGCCUGAUGCAGACAUGCCGCGUGGGUGAAGAAGGCCUUCGGGUUGUAAAGCACUUUCAGCGAGGAGGCGUUACUCGAAGAAGAAGCACCGGCUAACUCCGUGCCAGCAGCCGCGGUAAUUC
rnacentral:rRNA from 1 species